rnacentral:snRNA from 1 species
GCUUCCUUUGGCAGCCUAAAUUUAGAGUGAUAUAGAGAAGAUUAGCGGGCCCCUAGCAAGAAUAAGAUGUAAAUUUGCAAAACAUUCCAUAUUUUU